CGUUGUAAAACGACGUUUAUGCAUGAACGUAAUGCUCAUAACUUCCCUCUAGAUCGAGCUGCCUGUCGAAGUUCCGUCUACAAACGGAUAAGACUUCGGUAUUGGUGUAUACUGAGUUAUUGAACAUAAAGGAGCAAUAAUAAAUUUCUUGUUCUACCAAGAAGUUUGGUAUUGCUCCUUUUUUAUUUAGGAUUUUUUUUGACUUAAAUAAGUCUGUUUCUUUACUUCAUCGUUACUUCAUCUUUACUUCAACAUACCCUUCGUUAUGUAGAAAUUUUUAUUUUCGAUAUCCUCUUCUCAAUUUUUUUUCUUAUAGUUUUUCUUAUAAGAAUUAAAAUAAGAAUUAAAAUAAAAAAUUUAAAUAUAAAUGGUGUAAAUUGACCUAUUUGUUUGUAAUUUGUAAUGUAAUAGGGGCGGAUGUAGCCAAGUGGAUCAAGGCAGUGGAUUGUGAAUCCACC
rnacentral:misc_RNA from 1 species